ACGGGAGGCAGCAGUGGGGGAUAUUGCACAAUGGAGGAAACUCUGAUGCAGCAACGCCGCGUGAGGGAAGAAGGUCUUCGGAUUGUAAACCUCUGUUUUUGGUGAAGAAUUUUGACGGUAGCCAAAGAGGAAGCCACGGCUAACUACGUGCCAGCAGCCGCGGUAAUACGUAGGUGGCAAGCGUUGUCCGGAUUUACUGGGUGUAAAGGGUGCGCAGGCGGGACUGCAAGUUGGAUGUGAAAUACCGAGGCUUAACCUCGGGGCUGCAUCCAAAACUGUGGUUCUUGAGUGGAGUAGAGGUAAGCGGAAUUCCGAGUGUAGCGGUGAAAUGCGUAGAUAUUCGGAGGAACACCAGUGGCGAAGGCGGCUUACUGGGCUCUAACUGACGCUGAGGCACGAAAGUGUGGGUAGCAAACAGGAUUAGAUACCCUGGUA
rnacentral:rRNA from 1 species